rnacentral:lncRNA from 1 species
AUGUGUGUGUUACAUGUUCCUGUUACAUUAAUGUGUGUUUUACAUGUUCCUGCUGCAUUAAUGUGUGUGUUACAUGUUCCUGUUACAUUAAUGUGGUGUGUUACAUGUUCAUGUUACAUUAAUGUGUGUGUUACAUGUUCCUGUUGCAUUAAUGUGUGUGUUACAUGUUCCUGUUACAUUAAUGUGUGUGUUACAUGUUCAUGUUACAUUAAUGUGUGUGUUACAUGUUCCUGUUGCAUUAAUGUGUGUGUUACAUGUUCCUGUUACAUUAAUGUGUGUGUUACAUGUUCAUGUUACAUUAAUGUGUGUGUUACAUGUUCCUGUUGCAUUAAUGUGUGUGUUACAUGUUCCUGUUACAUUAAUGUGUGUGUUACAUGUUCCUGUUGCAUUAAUGUGUGUGUUACAUGUUCCUGUUACAUUAAUGUGUGUGUUACAUGUUCCUGUUGCAUUAAUGUGUGUGUUACAUGUUCCUGUUGCAUUAAUGUGUGUGUUACAUGUUCCUGCUGCAUUAAUGUGUGUGUUACAUGUUCCUGUUACAUUAAUGUGUGUGUUACAUGUUCCUGCUGCAUUAAUGUGUGUGUUACAUGUUCCUGUUACAUUAAUGUGUGUGUUACAUGUUCCUGUUGCAUUAAUGUGUGUGUUACAUGUUCCUGUUGUAUUAAUGUGUGUGUUACAUGUUCCUGUUGCAUUAAUGUGUGUGUUACAUGUUCCUGCUGCAUUAAUGUGUGUGUUACAUGUUCCUGUUACAUUAAUGUGUGUGUUACAUGUUCCUGUUGCAUCAAUGUGUGUGUUACAUGUUCCUGUUGUAUUAAUGUGUGUGUUACAUGUUCCUGUUGCAUUAAUGUGUGUGUUACAUGUUCCUGCUGCAUUAAUGUGUGUGUUACAUGUUCCUGUUACAUUAAUGUGUGUUUUACAUGUUCCUGCUGCAUUAAUGUGUGUGUUACAUGUUCCUGUUACAUUAAUGUGUGUGUUACAUGUUCAUGUUACAUUAAUGUGUGUGUUACAUGUUCCUGUUGCAUUAAU